GUAACUGAAGCUAUAAAAAAUGAUCACCUCAGGCAAAUGGAACGUGAAAGUUGACAUAUAACAUGGAUAUUACUCAGCAACAAAAAGGAAUGAAUAUUGAUAUACGCAACAAAUUGGAUAGAUCUGAAGGAAAGCCAUGGCAGAAAAAUAUAUUAUGACAUCUGCAAAACUCAUUGCUCCUGUAAUUGAAACAUCUUUUGCUGCAGGUUAUGAUUGGUGCGUGGAAGUGGUGAAAGCUUCUCAAUAUGUAGAGCUAGCCAAUGAUCUGGAAAUAAACAAAGCAGUUACAUACUUGAGACAAAAAGACUAUAACCAAGCCGUAGAGAUCUUAAAAGUGUUGGAAAAAAAGGACAGUAGAGUGAAAAGUGCAGCUGCAACCAAUCUCUCAGCCCUGUAUUAUAUGGUAAGUUUUUUUACUACUAAGAGUUAAUCAUAUGCUAUUUUUAUAUUGCUAAAUUUCUGCCCAAGGAUCAUGCCUAGGGAGAGGUCCAAAGAAUAUUGGUGGAGAAUGGUAAGUGGACUGAGGAGUAUAGAGGAUCUGAUCCUGACAAGUGCCAGGCCAGGGGCUGAGUUGGCAGACAUGAGUGAGAACACCAUCUCUGAAGGAGAAGGGAGGAAGAAAAAUUGUAGUGAUAAGCAUCGCAUCAUAGAUUAUGCAACAUACAGCUGGAAGAGCUAGAGAUGUAUUUCAACUCCUUUGUGUUAUUAGUAAAGAAAGUGACAUCUUAGGUUAAAAGAUUUAUGUAAGGUUACAGAGUAUCAACUCUAACAAGCAUUUAUUGAGCAUCUCACUGGAUGCCAGUCAUGGGAAUACCAAAAGUCUAAAAGCUCCCUAAAGGGGAGCGUUCUUGUCUUUGGAACAAAGGAGGUAGACUAGGAAGGAAGGUUUAAAGUAGAGAACAAUAAACGAAUGCAGAUAAUAAGUGCUUCAGAAAUUCAGAGGAGGCAAAUAACAUUUUAAUUUAGGACUUUCAGGAAAGAUUUCAUAGAGAGUUGGAUCUUUCAGGUCAGAAUAUAGAAAGGGGCAUUUGUAGGGAGAAGGGGAUGAAACAAAAGUACAGAGGCAAGGAACUGCUGGGAGGGAAGUGUGUAUAAGAGUCAUUUCUUUUCACCAGAAAAUACAGAAUUUCUGGUAGGCUUUUUCUGAAUAUUGAAAAUUGAUUAUAGGUAGGUGUGGUGCCUCAAGCCUAUAAUCCCAGCACUUUGGGAGGCUGAGGUGUGUGAAUCACUUGAGCCCAGGAGUUUGAGACCAGCCUGGGCAACACAGUGCCUGUCUCUACAAAAAGUUCAAAAAAUUAGCUGGGCAUGAUGGUGCAUGCCUAUAGUCCCAGCUACUCGGAAGGCUGAGGUGGGAGGAUCACCUGAGCUGGGGAGGUCAAGGCUGUUGUGAGCCAUUAUCGUGCCAUUGUACUCCUGUUUGGUGACAGAUACCUUGUCUCA
rnacentral:sRNA from 1 species